UACGAAGGGGGCUAGCGUUGCUCGGAAUUACUGGGCGUAAAGGGCGCGUAGGCUGUGCUGUAAGUCAGGCGUGAAAGGCCCGGGCUCAACCUGGGAACUGCGUUUGAUACUGCGGCGCUGGAAUGCAGGAGAGGAUGGCGGAAUUCCCAGUGUAGAGGUGAAAUUCGUAGAUAUUGGGAAGAACACCGGUGGCGAAGGCGGCCAUCUGGCCUGCAAUUGACGCUGAGGCGCGAAAGCGUGGGGAGCAAACAGG
rnacentral:rRNA from 1 species